GGACCCCGGCCCGGCCCUUGCCAUGGCGCCGCCUCCGGCCCCGCUGCCCGCGUGGGAACCGGACGGCGCGGGGCGCGAGCGGAGGGGGCCGGGCGGCGUGAGCUUCGCGGACGUGGCCGUGUACUUCUCCCCCGAGGAGUGGGGCUGUCUGCGGCCCGCGCAGAGGGCCCUGUACCGGGACGUGAUGCGGGAGACCUACGGCCACCUGGGCGCGCUCGGGUUCCGAGGCGCCAAGCCAGCUCUCAUUUCCUGGGUGGAGGAAGAGGCGGACCUGUGGGGCCCGGCUGCCCGGGAUCCGGAGGUGGGAGAGUGUCUGACAGAAGCAGACGCAGCAGAUUCCAGAAACAAGGAAGAGAAAAAACAAAGAGAAGGGACUGAGGCCCUGAAGAAGAGCCUUUCUGUGGAAGCUCCUGGGCCAAAGGCUCCAACACACCCUUCUGCUGGGUUCCCUGACAGCUUGGAGCAGCCGUCCAAGGCACCUCGCCGGGGUCGCCCCCCACUCUGUACGCAUCCCCCUGUCCCAAGAGCCGACCAGCGUCAUGGUUGCUACAUGUGCGGGAAGAGUUUUGCUUGGCGCUCCACCCUAGUGGAGCACCUGUACACCCACACGGGGGAGAAGCCCUUCCGUUGCCCUGACUGUGGCAAGGGCUUCAGCCAGGCCUCCUCUCUGAGCAAGCACCGGGCCAUCCACCGUGGGGAGCGGCCCCACCGCUGCCUGGACUGUGGCCGGGCCUUCACCCAGCGCUCUGCCCUCACCACUCACCUGCGGGUCCACACGGGCGAGAAGCCCUAUGGCUGUGCUGACUGUGGCCGCUGCUUUAGCCAGAGCUCUGCCCUCUACCAGCACCAGCGGGUCCACAGUGGCGAGACUCCCUUCCCCUGCCCGGACUGUGGCCGUGCCUUUGCCCAUGCGUCAGACCUUCGGCGCCACAUACGCACCCACACGGGCGAGAAGCCCUACCCGUGCCCAGACUGUGGGCGCUGUUUCCGACAGAGCUCCGAAAUGGCAGCCCAUCGGCGUACCCACAGCGGUGAACGCCCCUACCCCUGUCCUCAGUGUGGCAGGUGCUUUGGCCAGAAGUCAGCCAUGGCCAAGCACCAGUGGGUUCAUAGGCCUGGUGCCGGGGGGCCCAGGGGCCGGGGUGCCAGUGCGUUGCCUGUGCCUCUGGCCCCUGGCCAAGGGGACCUGGACCCACCUGUGGGCUUCCAGCACUACCCAGAAAUAAUCCAGGAGUGUGGGUGAUGGUCCUAAAGAUGUCAAGGCAAAGGGUGAAGAUCUAGACAUUGCCUGAGGCCCAGGUUGGGCUCAGGGGCCUGAACCUCUGUGGCAGCUCCAGGGAGGUCCCACAAUUCCAGGCAAGAGGUGGACCUGGGGGAUGAGGAACUUCUUACCUUAGGCCUUCACAAGCUUGAUCUGCUGACACCUUGCUCCCUACUGUCCCAGACUCUAGAAGCCCCCUCUGCUCCGUUAGGGCUGAGGGAAAGAGCAGUUCACGCAGGAGUCGCCCUCAUACUGAGGGCCUUUGCUCAAGUGUUGGCCAAGUUGGCUGGACUGUAAGUGUUGGCUGCACACUGAAUAUCUCUGCCCCAGCUCUGCCACACACCGGUAAAGAUCCUAUGGACAAAGUGGCUGCCCAACUCAGGACACAAACACAGCUCCUCCUCACCAGGACACAGUGGUAGAAUAAGGAGAAUGGAAGAUGCCAUCUUUCCUCCUAAACCAGUUUCUUCCCUUCAUUUGUCUGAGAAGGCAACGAGAUAACACAAUCAUGGCUCCUGCAUCACUCACACAGGGAGAAUUUGGCUCAUCAAUUGUCAAGAACGCUACCAAAAUACUUUCAGCAGCAAGGGUAAAAAAGGGAACAAGAAUUGUCUUUCCAGAUUCACUUUUCCCUUGAUUGAA